rnacentral:tRNA from 1 species
GACCCCGUAGCUCAGAUGGAUAGAGUGCAUCCCUCCUAAGGAUGAAGUCGAAGGUUCGAGUCCUUCCGGGGUCGCCA